GUGCUCACUUCGGCAACACAUAUACUAAAAUUAGAACGACAGAGAAGAUUAGCAUGGCCCCUGUGCAAGGAUGACACAAAUUUGUGAAGCAUUCCAUUAAAAA
rnacentral:snRNA from 1 species